rnacentral:rRNA from 1 species
AGCGAACGCUGGCGGCGGGCUUAACACAUGCAAGUCGAGCGGGCGUAGCAAUACGUCAGCGGCAGACGGGUGAGUAACGCGUGGGAACAUACCUUUUGGUUCGGAAUAACACAGGGAAACUUGUGCUAAUACCGGAUAGGCCCUUACGGGGAAAGAUUUAUCGCCGAAAGAUUGGCCCGCGUCUGAUUAGCUAGUUGGUAGGGUAAUGGCCUACCAAGGCGACGAUCAGUAGCUGGUCUGAGAGGAUGAUCAGCCACAUUGGGACUGAGACACGGCCCAAACUCCUACGGGAGCAGCAGUGGGGAAUAUUGGACAAUGGGCGCAAGCCUGAUCCAGCCAUGCCGCGUGAGUGAUGAAGGCCCUAGGGUUGUAAAGCUCUUUUGUGCGGGAAGAUAAUGACGGUACCGC